GGGGGGCAGGGGCGAGUGACAAUUACACAGCAUUUUUUCACGUUGAGUCUACCAAGCAUACAUAAGUAGUAAAUAAAGAGUGACUAGUGAAGCAGUAACCACCAACCCUAUAAAGCUAGUUUAGAUCUUCACACAGACACAACUGCUCUCUUAGAAGAUUGUUCCAACCAGUACAGCCAGUUCUUGGUCUAUUAUUAUGUACAUAGUGUGCGCAUUCCUCAAAUUGAAGCACUGUAUUCACACUGAAUGGCAUAUAUUGUGUUCAAACUUUAACACUCCACCUUGUGGCUAAAUAAUUUUUUAAAAUUUUGUAUAACAUAGAGGUGUCUGUUUAUUUGAUGGACAUGUUAUUUCUUUAUCUGCAGUGUACUGGGCUGGUAGGCAAACACAGAGCUUCAAAUGAUCACCCUCUGAUUGUAGGUGGUAGGUAUCACAAGGCCAUUAUAUAAAAAAGAAUGGAGACCUUUGGACCAGUGUGGUUGAAACUCAGGUCAUUAAGACCUUCAUAGGGCUAUAUCAUGGAAUUAGAAGUAUAGCAGUUCAUCACUAGCUCUAGUAGCAACAACAUUGGGUCAUUGACCAACUUUCUAAAGUAUCUUAACCAUUGAUUGGGUGACUACACAAAAGUGUCACAGUUAGCUCAAGGGAAGCAACAGGUAGAAAAAAAAAACUUUACCU
rnacentral:sRNA from 1 species